GGCAGCACUAAAGUUCCCAUGUACUAAAAUUAGAAUUAUACAGAGAAGAUUAGUAUGUCCUCUGUGCAAAGAUGACAUGCAAAUUCAUGAAACAUUCCAUAUUUUU